GCCUGGGUGGCUCAGUCGGUUAAGCGUCCGACUUCGGCUCAGGUCACCAUCUCGCGGUCCGUGGGUUCGAGCCCCGCGUCGGGCU
rnacentral:tRNA from 1 species